CCAAACAUGUCAUCGCCUCAAUACCCUGUUCAGUAUGAGGGUGAACUAUACCUUCCGGUACGAGACUUUUCAGUCCCGUUUGACUGAGGUAAUAUCCAUGGUAGGGUUUCCCUAUGUAAAAGUCUGAAAACUUAAAUAAAAAUAAAGUUAUAAAUUAAAUGCGAAAGAAAAAUAAUAAAGUUAGGGUUACAUUCCUUACACAAUAAUUUAGAAUACCCAAUAGAGUUAUGUGAAUGUUCUUUCUAAAAGAGCAAACGAAAAUUAAAAAAUAAACGAAAAGUAAAUCACUAAGCAUCCUAGGAUGACCUUCAG
rnacentral:lncRNA from 1 species